AUGUAUUUCCAUUGUUAGUGUGGUCACUUGACUAUCUUGUCAAUAGACAAUAUUUGGUUAGGUUAGCUGUCGAUAUGCCAUGUUCACACGCAGGUUGAAACUAUGAGACGCAGACAUUUCCGACUUGCUGAUUCGUUGAACGUGACACGUGUAUAAUGACAACUAGUUAGCAAGUCGAACAUUUCAGAGUUUCCUUGUUCUGACUAGCACUUGAACGCGGAAUUAGAUACUAGAUUUAGUGUUGUAGUCAUCAAGGGCCCUGUUUCAGAAAGCGGGUUUAGUGAAAACUCAAGAGUUAGUUGACUCGGAGUUGAAGGAAACUCUGGGUUUUCUGUUUCACAAAGCCAGUUCAGCUUAACUCUGAGUCAGUUACUAUGGCAACAUACUCUGUGAAGCUAACCUGCUCCCUGGAAGGUUUUCAACAAACCCCGAGUUUCUCCUCCUCUUUAGCUAAAGCCUGCGGGUGUCAGACAUGGCGUGUCCUUUCCUUGAAGAGCUAGUUGAUACUGAAACACAAACACUGCAGAAAUCUCCAUCGGGAGAGGGUGAUCAGACCCUGCUUGAAUGUUUUAUCAUUCACUGAUGAUUAUCUGUUUGAGUGUUUCUGUACAAUCGAUCAUUCUUCUGAACAAUAUUCUCAGCCCUCAUGUCGUUAAUUUGACACAUCGUGGACAUGCUCUCAGUUCUGAACAAAUUCUUUGUGUUGCACUUUAUUUUUUUGCCGACUGGAGUUUGCUAUAUGACGUCGGUGACGCUGAGCAUAUUUCCAAGGCAACCGUCUGUCAGGCUGUCACAAAUGUGACUCUUGCACUGAAACGUUUACUGUACACUUUUGUGGUGUUCACAAGUCACAGACCCAGAAGACUCAUCAAAGAAGGAUUCUUCAGAAUUGCAGGGUUUCCAGGUGUGAUUGGCUGCAUAGAUGGCACUCAUAUUCCUAUCACAGCUCCUUCAGUAAAUGAAGGAGAUUAUUUGAAUAGGAAGUCUUUCCACAGCAUUAAUGUGCAGGAGAGUUCAAUGGUUACCUGUUGGUUGACAGAGGGUACCCCUGCCAACCCUGAUCCUGAGCCCGGCCCACAGCAACGUUAGAACUUGGCUCACUGCAGGACACGAGCCAGGGUAGAGAUGACCAUUGGGAUGCUCAAGGCCCGGUUUCAGUGCCUUCAUAGGCUCAGGAUCACCCCAGAAAGGACAUGUGACCUCAUGUGUGAUUCUCCACAAUUAGAGGAGAACAAUGUCCUACUCAACCAGUGAACGAUCCUGAUAACGAUCCUGAUAACCAUCCUGACCACCCCACUGACACAAGAGAGACAGUCAGAGACACAAUACGCUACCAUCAUUUCUGAUUGACCCAUCACCUCCCCAGUGUCAAAUAAAGACAAUAUGC